GGCUUGAUAGCUCAGUUGGUAGAGCACUGCACCAGUGUUGCAGAAGUCAAGGGUUCGAAUCCCGUUCAAGCCU